AAAACAUUUUAACUCGUAUUUGAAUUUAAAAAACGAGGUUCUUAUUUUUAAAAGGAUGAAUACUUUAAUUAUAUAGUAUAUACUUUCAAUCUUAUAGCUAACCUUGUGCACGACGUAUUUUAAACCUUUUAUGUGUUAGGUAUUUUAAUAGUAUAUUUAUUGUGCAAAUUGCAGGGAUAUAUUAAAAUGAAUAGUUCAACAUCGAGAUAGAUUAUAAUGUACAAUGGAUUGCAUUUAAUAGUUUAAUGGCUGUGAUUAAAACUGCAAACUGUUGGUAAUCCAAUGUCAGAACCGUUCGGUCAGUUUGCAGACCGAGAUUAUGUGUGGAUCACAGGAGUCGUUGUGUCAGCAGUGAUAGUAGCUGUUGUUCUUGCCAUUAUUAUAAUUUAUGCCUAUUUGAAGUGGAAACGGGAAUAUCUAAGGACAAAUCCAAAAGCUGCGAGGAAGAAAGGGGAUCCACGACCUACAUUUCCUUUAUAGCAUUUGAUAAAACAAAGUAUUUAGAUAUGCUUUUUGAGUAUUGUUUGCAGCACCUAAGUGUUCAUAAAGCGCUACAACGAAAACAUGUUGUUUUUCUGGUGCCUUAUAACCAUCGACCUAACAUUAUGGAUGUGAUAAAGUACGGAAUGAAUCUAGCUUAAACUGUGACGUUUUUGAAGUGUUAUGUAACUAUGCCAUUUUUUAUUCUAUACUGAGCUAUACUGAACUUGAGAAAAUCGCCGUUUCAGAAUCUAAUGCAUCAUGGGUUAUAUAUUCAAAAGUGUAAACCGUAACGUUCUGAUUGGUUAAUACUUUCAUAAACAAUGGAAAUGUAACCAAUGAAGUGACGUAAUUUUCAUUUUGGGGUACGAACAAUGAAAUUACCCGUGAUUCUUUUGAUUCUGAAGCGGCCAAUUAUGGUGCUUAAAAACAAGCAUUGUGUUUUGUUAUACAUUGUUAUAAAAUAUUAAGAUUGUAAAUAUUUAUUAUAUGAUAGUGACAAAAAAGUUUAAUACAAUUUGAAUGAA